rnacentral:lncRNA from 13 species
CUUGCUUCUGAGGAAGGAGACCCAGGCAUCUAGGAUCACCUCCCCCUUGACUUCCACACUGCGUUUCAAUAGAAGAAAGGCCUGGCCAACUGGCAUCUCCUAAAUCACCUUCCUGUAAAUAGCAGGCAUGGUGUGGGGGAAAUCUCUCUGGAAGACAUUGUUUUUACUUAAACAAGAUCAAACCCCCACCCCACUCCAAGAACCUUUCAUAUGUGAUUUCUAAAGCUGUAAACCCAAGACCCUUUCACUGGUAAUUUCUAAGGCAGUGAACCUAAGAUUUUUCAAUGUGUAAUAUCUAGAGUGUAAGCCUAUAUAAAGGCAGAGCCUCUCUUCCUUUAGACAAAUUGUCGCAUGGCUCCCAGCUGAAAUAAUAAUGAUAAUAAUAAUAAUAACAAUAAACACUUCUUCCUUCCCAGUUCGGUGUUUGAGAGGUCUGUUUCUUGAAGCAGCUCCUGCUUCACUUCUCUGAUGGUAGAAAGCAGUCUUCAGCCUGAGUCCCAUCCCUAGGACCUUGUUUAUUAUUUUUUGUCUUUGAGCAAAAGUUUUUUUCUUCUCAGUUGACGGAAUACUGUUUUCUUCAUAUGCUUCUGCUGUCUCUCCUUUUCUUCCACCUUCUCCUGCAUGUGGUACGUGAAACAGUUUAUAAUAGCCUGUGGCUCCUUAAAGAAAAUGGAGAAGGCACUAGAUUCCUUUUGGGGAGAAACCUGUUUUUUCUUACGGAACCCCAAGAACGUAAACAGAACUCUACAUCCCUGAAGCAGAAGUGGAGGAAAAAAGUGAAUGUUGCAGAGCUGGAGAUUGGCGGGGCAAGUUCAGCAGAGGAUGAAGACAGCUGGAAGCAAUAGAAUUGAAGUGUGUGAGGAUUUCCACUAGUUAGAGAAAGAAGUAGAGCUAAGAGGAAGGUAACAAUCAGGAGAAUUGUGAGAUGGAAUGCUGGAAGUAAGGAUUGCAAAGACAGUAUGUUGUGGCCCAAGAGUUGGAAUUUAGAGUUUAAGAAAGAAAACAAAUGAAAGCUGAAGGACGGAUAGAUUAAGGAAAGGUAGCAGAAAUGUCAGGAGACAAUAUUAGAAAUGUUCUCUCUCUUGAUUUUGGUGGUGGUUGCAUAACUGUAUAUAAUUAUCAAAAGUUAUUCAAUUGUACAUUUUAAAUGGAUGCAGCUUACUGUACAAAAAUAUUCUUCAGUAUACUUGAUACAAAAAAGGACUUUCUUAAUUUUGAAGAAAUUUAGAAAAUAGCAAUGUUCAGAUUGUAACCUUAUUACUAGAGUCUAAUGUUGGAAAAUCUCACCAGAAAAGAAACAGUAAUUGUAGCACCAGAUGUUGGCAGUUACCAAAGAUAAGAGAGGGUACUGACUGAGUCACAUUGGGAGGCCUCAGUGUGCAUUUUCUAACCUAGGUGCUAAUCAACAGGAAAAAGGGUUAUUGAAGAAAGCGUUUUUGAAUAUUCACUUGUUAUGCAGGUUGAGCAUAGAAAACCUGAAAAUUUGAAGGGCA